rnacentral:rRNA from 1 species
UACGUAGGGGGCAAGCGUUGUCCGGAAUCACUGGGCGUAAAGGGCGCGUAGGCGGCGUUUUAAGUCGGGGGUGAAAGCCUGUGGCUCAACCACAGAAUGGCCUCGAUACUGGGACGCUUGAGUAUGGUAGAGGUUGGUGGAACUGCGAGUGUAGAGGUGAAAUUCGUAGAUAUUCGCAAGAACACCGGUGGCGAAGGCGGCCAACUGGACCAUUACUGACGCUGAGGCGCGAAAGCGUGGGGAGCAAACAGG